GGGACACGUGGUAUCCUGUCUGAAUAUGGGGGGACCAUCCUCCAAGGCUAAAUACUCCUGACUGACCGAUAGUGAACCAGUACCGUGAGGGAAAGGCGAAAAGAACCCCGGCGAGGGGAGUGAAAAAGAACCUGAAACCGUGUACGUACAAGCAGUGGGAGCCUCUUUUAUGGGGUGACUGCGUACCUUUUGUAUAAUGGGUCAGCGACUUAUAUUCUGUAGCAAGGUUAACCGAAUAGGGGAGCCGAAGGGAAACCGAGUCUUAACUGGGCGUUAAGUUGCAGGGUAUAGACCCGAAACCCGGUGAUCUAGCCAUGGGCAGGUUGAAGGUUGGGUAACACUAACUGGAGGACCGAACCGACUAAUGUUGAAAAAUUAGCGGAUGACUUGUGGCUGGGGGUGAAAGGCCAAUCAAACCGGGAGAUAGCUGGUUCUCCCCGAAAGCUAUUUAGGUAGCGCCUCGUGAAUUCAUCUCCGGGGGUAGAGCACUGUUUCGGCAAGGGGGUCAUCCCGACUUACCAACCCGAUGCAAACUGCGAAUACCGGAGAAUGUUAUCACGGGAGACACACGGCGGGUGCUAACGUCCGUCGUGAAGAGGGAAACAACCCAGACCGCCAGCUAAGGUCCCAAAGUCAUGGUUAAGUGGGAAACGAUGUGGGAAGGCCCAGACAGCCAGGAUGUUGGCUUAGAAGCAGCCAUCAUUUAAAGAAAGCGUAAUAGCUCACUGGUCGAGUCGGCCUGCGCGGAAGAUGUAACGGGGCUAAACCAUGCACCGAAGCUGCGGCAGCGACGCUUAUGCGUUGUUGGGUAGGGGAGCGUUCUGUAAGCCUGUGAAGGUGUGCUGUGAGGCAUGCUGGAGGUAUCAGAAGUGCGAAUGCUGACAUAAGUAACGAUAAAGCGGGUGAAAAGCCCGCUCGCCGGAAGACCAAGGGUUCCUGUCCAACGUUAAUCGGGGCAGGGUGAGUCGACCCCUAAGGCGAGGCCGAAAGGCGUAGUCGAUGGGAAACAGGUUAAUAUUCCUGUACUUGGUGUUACUGCGAAGGGGGGACGGAGAAGGCUAUGUUGGCCGGGCGACGGUUGUCCCGGUUUAAGCGUGUAGGCUGGUUUUCCAGGCAAAUCCGGAAAAUCAAGGCUGAGGCGUGAUGACGAGGCACUACGGUGCUGAAGCAACAAAUGCCCUGCUUCCAGGAAAAGCCUCUAAGCAUCAGGUAACAUCAAAUCGUACCCCAAACCGACACAGGUGGUCAGGUAGAGAAUACCAAGGCGCUUGAGAGAACUCGGGUGAAGGAACUAGGCAAAAUGGUGCCGUAACUUCGGGAGAAGGCACGCUGAUAUGUAGGUGAAGCGACUUGCUCGUGGAGCUGAAAUCAGUCGAAGAUACCAGCUGGCUGCAACUGUUUAUUAAAAACACAGCACUGUGCAAACACGAAAGUGGACGUAUACGGUGUGACGCCUGCCCGGUGCCGGAAGGUUAAUUGAUGGGGUCAGCGCAAGCGAAGCUCUUGAUCGAAGCCCCGGUAAACGGCGGCCGUAACUAUAACGGUCCUAAGGUAGCGAAAUUCCUUGUCGGGUAAGUUCCGACCUGCACGAAUGGCGUAAUGAUGGCCAGGCUGUCUCCACCCGAGACUCAGUGAAAUUGAACUCGCUGUGAAGAUGCAGUGUACCCGCGGCAAGACGGAAAGACCCCGUGAACCUUUACUAUAGCUUGACACUGAACAUUGAGCCUUGAUGUGUAGGAUAGGUGGGAGGCUUAGAAGUGUGGACGCCAGUCUGCAUGGAGCCGACCUUGAAAUACCACCCUUUAAUGUUUGAUGUUCUAACGUUGACCCGUAAUCCGGGUUGCGGACAGUGUCUGGUGGGUAGUUUGACUGGGGCGGUCUCCUCCUAAAGAGUAACGGAGGAGCACGAAGGUUGGCUAAUCCUGGUCGGACAUCAGGAGGUUAGUGCAAUGGCAUAAGCCAGCUUGACUGCGAGCGUGACGGCGCGAGCAGGUGCGAAAGCAGGUCAUAGUGAUCCGGUGGUUCUGAAUGGAAGGGCCAUCGCUCAACGGAUAAAAGGUACUCCGGGGAUAACAGGCUGAUACCGCCCAAGAGUUCAUAUCGACGGCGGUGUUUGGCACCUCGAUGUCGGCUCAUCACAUCCUGGGGCUGAAGUAGGUCCCAAGGGUAUGGCUGUUCGCCAUUUAAAGUGGUACGCGAGCUGGGUUUAGAACGUCGUGAGACAGUUCGGUCCCUAUCUGCCGUGGGCGCUGGAGAACUGAGGGGGGCUGCUCCUAGUACGAGAGGACCGGAGUGGACGCAUCACUGGUGUUCGGGUUGUCAUGCCAAUGGCACUGCCCGGUAGCUAAAUGCGGAAGAGAUAAGUGCUGAAAGCAUCUAAGCACG
rnacentral:rRNA from 1 species